CCUGCAAGAAAAAGGAUAUGUCCAAGCC
rnacentral:piRNA from 1 species